AGCGAACGCUGGCGGCGUGCUUAACACAUGCAAGUCGAACGGAUCCGGGGGGCAACCCUCGGAUUAGUGGCGAACGGGUGAGUAACACGUGGGUAAUCUCCCCCCGAGUGAGGAAUAAGCUUGCGAAAGCGGGUCUAAUACCGCAUGACGUCCCGGGGCGUAUGCCCUAGGACCAAAGCCGUAAGGCGCUUGGGGAUGAGCCUGCGUCCUAUUAGCUAGUUGUUAGGGUAACGGCCUACCAAGGCGAUGAUGGGUAGCCGGCCUGAGAGGGUGAACGGCCACACUGGAACUGAGACACGGUCCAGACUCCUACGGGAGGCAGCAGUGGGGAAUUUUGCGCAAUGGGCGAAAGCCUGACGCAGCGACGCCGCGUGGAGGAAGACGGCCUUCGGGUUGUAAACUCCUGUCAGAGGUGAAGAAUGCCCGCAAGGGCUUGACGGUAACCUCAGAGGAAGCCCCGGCUAACUACGUGCCAGCCGCCGCAGUAAAAC
rnacentral:rRNA from 1 species